CCCGCUGAACUUAAGCAUAUCAAUAAGCGGAGGAAAAGAAACUAACAAGGAUUCCCCUAGUAACUGCGAGUGAAGCGGGAAAAGCUCAAAUUUAAAAUCUGGCGGUCUUGCGGCCGUCCGAGUUGUAAUCUGGAGAAGCGUUUAUCCGCGUCGGACCGUGUACAAGUCUUCUGGAAGGGAGCGUCGUAGAGGGUGAGAAUCCCGUCUUUGACACGGACAACCGGUGCUUUUGUGAUGCGCUCUCGAAGAGUCGAGUUGUUUGGGAAUGCAGCUCAAAAUGGGUGGUAAAUUCCAUCUAAAGCUAAAUAUUGGCGAGAGACCGAUAGCAAACAAGUACCGUGAGGGAAAGAUGAAAAGCACUUUGGAAAGAGAGUUAAACAGUACGUGAAAUUGUUGAAAGGGAAACGUUUGAAGUCAGUCGCGUCGGCCGAGACUCAACCUUGCUUCUGCUCGGUGCACUUCUCGGUUGACGGGUCAGCAUCAAUUUUGACCGGUGGAUAAAGGUCAGGGGAAUGUGGCAUCUUCGGAUGUGUUAUAGCCUCUGGUCGCAUACAUCGGUUGGGAUUGAGGAACUCAGCACGCCGCAAGGCCGGGUUUUUAACCACGUACGUGCUUAGGAUGCUGGCAUAAUGGCUUUAAUCGACCCGUCUUGAAACACGG
rnacentral:rRNA from 1 species